AUAUGGAGGGUGCAAGCGUUACUCGGAAUCACUGGGCGUAAAGCGCGCGCAGGCGGUCUUUUAAGUUGGAUGUGAAAGCCUACGGCUCAACCGUAGAACUGCAUCCAAAACUAUUAGACUAGAGUGUGGGAGAGGAAGAUGGAAUUAGUUGUGUAGGGGUAAAAUCCGUAGAGAUAUCUAGGAAUACCAAAAGCGAAGGCAAUCUUCUGGAACACUACUGACGCUGAGGCGCGAAGGCGUGGGGAGCAAACAGGAUUAGAAACCCGAGUAGUCC
rnacentral:rRNA from 1 species